AGAGAGAGAGAGCACUCGCGCUCACCGACUUGUGGGGAACUCACACCUGACAAAGGACCUUUCUUAUGGGGAAAGUUCAGAAUUGUGGGGAACUCUCUCGUUCCCCACAAAUAUGGUCAUGGGGUUUUUUGAAUUCUACGUGUUCUACUGAUAAUAUUUAUUCGAUUUGUGGUCAUUUUUGAAAAAAUCCCCAUAAGUCCGUAAAAUUGACUCGCGGUAAUUUUCUCACUGCACCGUAAAACGAAUGUUUGAGGAUGCUGGGAAAUGUUCAUUCGGAACGCAGCGGAAUUUAAACUGGUCCCCAUAUGAUACCAAUUUAUUGCGGGCAAUGGCUGCUCCGAGAAUAUGUGGUUUUCGGGUUUUCACCACAAGAUCAAAUUAUACAACUUUAUUCUUGAAAAUGUUAGAGACUGAGACUUGGAGUCAAAGUCAACAGACACACUUGCAUGGACAUGAAGGAUGUAAAGAACUAGAGUAUUAUAACUGAAAGCAUUUUGUCUGGAUUUGUGUAUGGAAACAGAAGGAUUUAGUAUUGGUAUCCUGAAUUUUUCUCAACUUCUAGCCAAGAUCCUGUACUUAAGCUGAAUGUGGAGGACAGAUGUACACACAGUACUAGUAUAGAGGGUAUUAUCUCGGUACCUUAAAACUCCAAACGACAGGGAGAAGAAGAAAACUGCAUAUUUCCGAUGUAUCUUCACAGCAACAUGACCCAAAGCACUACCAUUAAAGGAUUUGAUUUGACAUUAAGGAAGUAAAAAAAUGAAGGCAUUAGUCAUAAAGAAAAUUAAAGAACUUUAUGUCUGAAUAUUAUAUCAACAAUACCAUAGAUCUAAAGAUGGAUUAUUUUGCCUUAUAAUUUAUA